GAAGGCACGCACUACUGAAGGAUAACGAAAAUCGACAAUUAAUAAAAGCUAUGAAGGUAGGCAGGGUAAGAAAAAAAAUGGGGAAUAUUACUCCAGCCAGUACUAUGCACGCUGCCUGACGCACGACAAACUUCUAUGAACCAAAAAUCCUACAGUUUGUUGAGCAUUCUUUAAAAAGGGACUCCACGAUUUUCGUUGUAGUUACUUAGAUUUUGAUAUCGAGGUAAUAACUUAUGAAAACUCGGUGAGAAGAGCAGCCUGGAAGGUACGUUUCUUUUUCCGAGGGCGUCCCGGCAGCGGCCACUCAAACCAUAAUACAGUUUACUUCGUGAGCCGCGCGUUUCUCCAUACCUGUGUAUUUGUAGGCUAUUUAUUAAUGGAGGGCUAUGAGACGGACUGUGAUGGUAGCCUGUAGUGAUAGAUAAUGGUGCCUGACGCUUCCCUGCACACGUAGGAGGCCGAGUUAAGUGAAGAUGGUGAGCGACAAGCCGAAAAAGGUGCUUGGAUUCCUCCGGGCCCGUGCGGGUCGGCGGGACAGAGAGCCCACCAAGACCAGGUAUUUUUACUUGGCUUUGUCCCUUCACUAUUUCGUCAAUCUGGCUUGCUCCAUCACUGGGGACACGUAAGCCUCUUCACCUGGCCAAGGAAGAGAGAGUGGAGAGGAGAGAAGAAGAGAAGAGAGAAGAGCAUCUUGAUUCUUCUUUUCCAUGGCAUCAGUUUCUUUAUCCUUGUAGAUGUCAUUAGAUUUCAUGAAGCUGAGGAGAAAGGCUAGUAUUUUUUGCUCACCAGGGGACUCAGUUUAUUUUUGUAGAUGUCAUGAGGUGAUUUUAUGAAACUGAGGAGGAAGGCUAAUACUUUUUCUUCAUCAGGGGACUCAGUUUCUUUAUUUUUGUAGAAUGUCAUUAGAUUUUAUGAUGCUGGGGAGGAAGGCUAGUACUUUUCCUCACCAAGGGGACACAGUUUCUUUAUUUUUGUAGAUGGCAUUAGGUGAUUUUUAUGAAGCUGAGGAAGAAGGAUAGGACUUCUCACCAAGGGACUAUAAAAUGAAUCAAGUCACUCAUCAAACAGUUACCAAAUCAUGCACUAUCUUUCACCUGAGCAACUAACUGGUGAUUCGAGGGAUUAUGGGAAGUGUCUGUAGCACUGAAGGAAUUAAUACGAACUUCGCUAAAUCAAUGGGCGUCACUUGAGCCACGCUACAGUGCAGUACUUAACGACUCGUUGCCAUGACGACAUAGUCAACAGUCACCCGAUACUAGACCUGGCAAGCAGGACGCGAGUGUGAGGCGUGCUGGCCUUGUCCCGCCCCGGCUACGUGUUCAGGGUGAGGGGGCAGGUGCGUCGUGCGUGGCGUGGGGGGGAGGGGUGAAGGAGGGGGUGGCGCUACCUGUAACAAAGGAGGGUAAACAUUGCAUGCUUCGUUAUGCAGCGUUAAGGUGAGGGCGUGAGGGUGUGAGGGUGAGCGGCGCGGUAACUCUAACACCCUGAGAAAGGGGUUAGGUGGCGGCCUUUCUGGUCCUGCUCUCUCCCUCUCUCUCUGGCACCUCUUGAUCUGCGCUUCCGGAUGGCUGGCGUCCUGCGGAAACACUUAAUAUGCCCUGCCAUGAGUUAGCAAGGUAUUCAUCGGUAUUGGCUUGCUCGAUAAAGGCAACCAGAGCCUUAUCUAAUUUAUUUCCUGUCCUGCUUGAUAAUGACAAGGUCGCUUAAUCUUGUACAUUUGUCCCCUAGUGUCGUGAGGAAAGGGGAUGUUAAUAUUUUUACAUUUAGUUAUGAUAUUAUUAACCGUUAAAUCUUCCUCACUAAUGACAUAUAGUACCUAAGCUAUUGCCUUUGCUACCUGAUGUCACAUGUGGAAUUUUAAUCAGUCCUAAGUAACUCAUUAGGGAAAUAUACGCGUAAUUACGGCUAUUGUCCUGGUCUUCCUACUCCUCCCCGUCCUCCGCCUCCUCUUUGAUCUCCGGCUUGUCUCAUUAUAAGCCACGCCGUUGCAGUUUGUGAGUCGGUGAUAAGAACAAACAGAGCGGAGAUUAGAGAGCCAUGCAUUGCGGCGCGCCCUGCAGGAAGGUGACGGAGGAGCGAGGCGGCGGCGUUUGGGUAAAUAAUAAAAAGAACAAUACGAAAUAUGUACUCAACCUCACCUUGCCGAGAGGAGUGAGCGAUGGAGUAAACAGGCCGAUGAUUACACGCCCACACACACACACACACACACACACUUAUGCAACCCCCACAGCCAUGCAACACCUUCACUCCGCCUCACGAUUGCUUGAAAAUACCGACAGUGAUGAUUUUUUUUAACGGUUCGAACCCCAGAGAGGAUCCGUGGACAUUUCCGAGUGAUUGGUCGAUAAGAAGUAAUGGGAUCCUUUCUCUUUUUGGUGAUUUCUGAAGUGGUUUCUCGUCGUUUUCAUUGGCGAUUUGUGAUAUCCGUUGCGGUGCCAUCAGUCAGUCAAUCGGUCAAUCAGUCGGUCAAUCAGUCAGUCAGUCAGUCAGU